GGAUUGUGGCUCAGUGGUGGAGCACUUGCCUAGCAUGCAUGAGGCACUGAGUUUGAUUCUCAGCACCA
rnacentral:tRNA from 1 species